UACGGAGGGUGCAAGCGUUAUCCGGAUUCACUGGGUUUAAAGGGCGCGUAGGUGGUCUUAUAAGUCAGUGGUGAAAUCCUGUCGCUUAACGAUAGAAUUGCCAUUGAUACUGUAGGACUUGAGUACAGUUGCCGUUGGCGGAAUAUGACAUGUAGUGGUGAAAUACAUAGAUAUGUCAUAGAACACCGAUUGCGAAGGCAGCUGACGAAACUGUAACUGACACUGAGGCUCGAAAGUGUGGGGAUCAAACAGG
rnacentral:rRNA from 1 species